UUUUAAAAUUAACUUAUGAUGUAUUCGCCCGUGGUACUUUGUUGGUGUUUCCUUUGAAUAUACAUGGUAUUAUAGAGAAAAGUGAGAGGACUAUGAUUGUAGGGAGAAUAAUUAGGAAUGGUAAGUGAGGUAUAUUUACUUAGAUUAAUAAAUAUUAAAUAAGUAAAAAUAUAGUUAACUUUUACACGAGCUUAAUAGGAGUUUUAAUAACUCUCCUUUAGUUUUAACCACCAUUGAAAAUAUUGAGUGACCACUUUUUAACUUCGUUUUAAUUACAGAAAGAUACUAAAUGAUGCUAGACUCUCUUAUAUAGGGUUGUUUAGUUGAAAUCUAAGACGGGUUAGAUAAAGCUCCUCUAUUAAAAAAGGGUUCUUUUUGGCCUCAACUCCAGUAUAGGGUAUUGAUAAAUUAUGGAGAUAUGGAAUAAGCAUGAGGAAGAUUAGGCGGGAUUAAUAUCGGUGCCAGCAUUCGCGGUUAAACCUAUACCAUCAAGCCAACAUUAUUGGUCGUGUCAGAGAGAAAUUAUAAUUAAAACACCUUGAUCUAUGUAAGAAACGGUAAAAUGUAACUUAAACUGAAUAAUUAAAGUUAUUUCGGUAUUGGUGGAUUAAAGUUAGUUUUUAAAAUGGAACCUAAUAAGGCUGCAACUAGAGACAGGGAUUAGUACCCCUUUAUUAAAGUUUUUAAAUUGAUGUGCGGAUACUACGAGCAAAAGUGCUUAAAACCCAAAAAGGCUGGCGGUGUUUCAAAUCCAGUUAGGGGAACUUGGCGAUUAAAUCGAUGAACCUCGCAAAUCUUACCUUUAGUUGUCUUUGCAUACCGCCGUUGAGAAUUGCAGUAGUGGAUAAAGAACAUUACACAAUAUUUAAGAGAAAGUGAAUUAUUAGUGUAGAAAUUCGUUUCAAUAAAAAUUCAGGUACACGUGUAGGAUCUAAAGGGUUUAGCUGAGUUACAAUUUUAAAGAAAAACGGACUAUAAAUUAAAAUUUAUAGAUAAGGUGAACUUAUUAGUAAAACUUUAUUAUUUAUGAAGUUUGAAUAGUGUUAUGAGAUGCGUACAAAUCGCCCGGCACCUCUGUAUACAAAAAAUCGGAGUAAGUCGUAACAUAGUAAUGCUAGUAGAAACUGGUGUUAAGUGUA
rnacentral:rRNA from 1 species